UGUGACGGUGAUGAGUUGCACUGUUGGCAGAGCUGCUGAUUGCAGUGGCACGGCUGCUCUGUCCUGAUAUCCUGUGGUGACACUUCAUGUGCACAGGGGCCAUCUGAGUCACA